rnacentral:piRNA from 1 species
CACCAGUAAAUCGAAUAGCAG